UCCCUGGUAGUCCAGUGGCUAAGAUUCCACCCUCCCAAUGCAGGGGCCCAGGUUCGAUCCCUGGUCAGGGAA
rnacentral:tRNA from 1 species